AGCGAACGCUGGCGGCAGGCCUAACACAUGCAAGUCGAACGAACGCUUCGGAGUUAGUGGCGGACGGGUGAGUAACACGGGGGAACGUGCCUUUAGGUUCGGAAUAACUCAGGGAAACUUGUGCUAAUACCGAAUGUGCCCUUCGGGGGAAAGAUUUAUCGCCUUUAGAGCGGCCCGCGUCUGAUUAGCUAGUUGGUGAGGUAAUGGCUCACCAAGGCUACGAUCAGUAGCUGGUCUGAGCGGCUGCUCAGCCACAUUGGGACUGAGACCCGGCCCCCCCUCCUACGGGAGGCAGCAGUGGGGCCUCUUGCGCAAUGGGCGAAAGCCUGACGCAGCCAUGCCGCGUGUCUGCUUCGUGUCUUAGGAUUGUACACUCCUUUCACCGGUGAAGAUAAUGACUGUAGCCGGAGACGAAGCCCCGGCUAACUUCGUGCAGCCGCCGCAGUAAUAC
rnacentral:rRNA from 1 species